CCAGCAUCACUUCCUUCUAAGAUUGUCUUUGAUUGCUAGAAGAGAAACACAUAAUCAGUAUAUAUUGUCAUGCACUAACGAACUCAAACACAGGUGUUGAAGAAGGGCUUCUCGUGGCGUCAUCACAACUUACUACCAAGACAUCUUCCUCCAGAACUAUGCAAAUCGGCAUUGUUAUUGCCCUGACCACGGCUGUCAUGCUGAUGGAACUUCACAGCUGCACAGCGCAGUGUAAGCCAAACUAUUGGGCUGAUGGAUGUAGCCAUGUCGUCGACUUCAAGUUCACAGAUGACUGUAACAAACACGACAUAUGCUACGCUUGCGGCAACGGACUGGGUGUUUCACGCCAUAACUGCGAUGACCGUUGGUAUAACAACAUGAAGAACACAUGCGCCUCGGUGAAUUGGUUCUUGCGAGCCGGAUGUCGGUUUGUUGCUUGGACCUACUAUAGCUGGAUGCGGAACUGGGGAGAGAAGUCUUACAAAGCUCCGUCUUUGGGGUUUUGCAAUGAAAACUGGGUUCCCGCGUGUGUGUGAUGAUAACGAGUAUUGUGAAUUGUAUGAAGCAAACUCUUUUAUUUUCAUUACCAUACUGUCAAAUACUUCUAGUACUAAAUGUACCUGAUAACAAUCUUGAUAUGUCUUGUUUUCAUGAAUUACCCAAUAAAAUAUUACUUAACACUUCCGUGUUUGAUAGCAAACGUGCUAUGCUUUGUAAUCAUUUAAGAGUACGCCUAGUAUUACUCAAUUUAUUUGCUAGCAUAUCAUUGAUUCUUCAGUUGCUUCCUAGUUGUUUCUGUUGUAUUUUUUUGGAUGCUAAGUACUACUUUCCCAUAUUUUUGCUAUGAUUAUGAGAAUGUCUUUAUAUAAACGAUCUUAAUAAACAUAUAAUCACCA